rnacentral:rRNA from 1 species
GGGUUGUGAGGUUAAGCGACUAAGCGUACACGGUGGAUGCCCUGGCAGUCAGAGGCGAUGAAGGGCGUGCUAAUCUGCGAUAAGCGCCGGUAAGGUGAUAUGAACCGUUAUAACCGGCGAUACCCGAAUGGGGAAACCCAGUGUGAUUCGUCACACUAUCAUUAACUGAAUCCAUAGGUUAAUGAGGCGAACCGGGGGAACUGAAACAUCUAAGUACCCCGAGGAAAAGAAAUCAACCGAGAUUCCCCCAGUAGCGGCGAGCGAACGGGGAGGAGCCCAGAGCCUGAAUCAGCAUGUGUGUUAGUGGAAGCGUCUGGAAAGGCGCGCGAUACAGGGUGACAGCCCCGUACACAAAAGCGCAUGUGCUGUGAGCUCGAUGAGUAGGGCGGGACACGUGGUAUCCUGUCUGAAUAUGGGGGGACCAUCCUCCAAGGCUAAAUACUCCUGACUGACCGAUAGUGAACCAGUACCGUGAGGGAAAGGCGAAAAGAACCCCGGCGAGGGGAGUGAAAAAGAACCUGAAACCGUGUACGUACAAGCAGUGGGAGCACCCUUCGGGGUGUGACUGCGUACCUUUUGUAUAAUGGGUCAGCGACUUAUAUUCUGUAGCAAGGUUAACCGUAUAGGGGAGCCGGAGGGAAACCGAGUCUUAAUUGGGCGUUAAGUUGCAGGGUAUAGACCCGAAACCCGGUGAUCUAGCCAUGGGCAGGUUGAAGGUUGGGUAACACUAACUGGAGGACCGAACCGACUAAUGUUGAAAAAUUAGCGGAUGACCUGUGGCUGGGGGUGAAAGGCCAAUCAAACCGGGAGAUAGCUGGUUCUCCCCGAAAGCUAUUUAGGUAGCGCCUCGUGAAUUCAUCUCCGGGGGUAGAGCACUGUUUCGGCUAGGGGGCCAUCCCGGCUUACCAACCCGAUGCAAACUGCGAAUACCGGAGAAUGUUAUCACGGGAGACACACGGCGGGUGCUAACGUCCGUCGUGAAGAGGGAAACAACCCAGACCGCCAGCUAAGGUCCCAAAGUCAUGGUUAAGUGGGAAACGAUGUGGGAAGGCCCAGACAGCCAGGAUGUUGGCUUAGAAGCAGCCAUCAUUUAAAGAAAGCGUAAUAGCUCACUGGUCGAGUCGGCCUGCGCGGAAGAUGUAACGGGGCUAAACCAUGCACCGAAGCUGCGGCAGCGAACGUAUCACCCAAGACAACUUUACGGAGUUGACGAUUGACGGAGCGAAGCGACGUCAAAGCGUUCAUUAAAGUCGAGUUGGCUUAGGGAUACGUUCGUUGGGUAGGGGAGCGUUCUGUAAGCCUGUGAAGGUGUGUCGUGAGGCAUGCUGGAGGUAUCAGAAGUGCGAAUGCUGACAUAAGUAACGAUAAAGCGGGUGAAAAGCCCGCUCGCCGGAAGACCAAGGGUUCCUGUCCAACGUUAAUCGGGGCAGGGUGAGUCGACCCCUAAGGCGAGGCCGAAAGGCGUAGUCGAUGGGAAACGGGUUAAUAUUCCCGUACUUGGUGUUACUGCGAAGGGGGGACGGAGAAGGCUAUGUUGGCCGGGCGACGGUUGUCCCGGUUUAAGCGUGUAGGUGUGUGUUCCAGGUAAAUCCGGUUCACUUUAACACUGAGGCGUGACGACGAGGCACUACGGUGCUGAAGCAACAAAUGCCCUGCUUCCAGGAAAAGCCUCUAAGCAUCAGGUAACACGAAAUCGUACCCCAAACCGACACAGGUGGUCAGGUAGAGAAUACCAAGGCGCUUGAGAGAACUCGGGUGAAGGAACUAGGCAAAAUGGUGCCGUAACUUCGGGAGAAGGCACGCUGACACGUAGGUGAAGUGAUUUACUCAUGGAGCUGAAGUCAGUCGAAGAUACCAGCUGGCUGCAACUGUUUAUUAAAAACACAGCACUGUGCAAACACGAAAGUGGACGUAUACGGUGUGACGCCUGCCCGGUGCCGGAAGGUUAAUUGAUGGGGUCAGCGUAAGCGAAGCUCCUGAUCGAAGCCCCGGUAAACGGCGGCCGUAACUAUAACGGUCCUAAGGUAGCGAAAUUCCUUGUCGGGUAAGUUCCGACCUGCACGAAUGGCGUAAUGAUGGCCAGGCUGUCUCCACCCGAGACUCAGUGAAAUUGAACUCGCUGUGAAGAUGCAGUGUACCCGCGGCAAGACGGAAAGACCCCGUGAACCUUUACUAUAGCUUGACACUGAACAUUGAGCCUUGAUGUGUAGGAUAGGUGGGAGGCUUUGAAGUGUGGACGCCAGUCUGCAUGGAGCCGACCUUGAAAUACCACCCUUUAAUGUUUGAUGUUCUAACGUGGACCCGUAAUCCGGGUUGCGGACAGUGUCUGGUGGGUAGUUUGACUGGGGCGGUCUCCUCCUAAAGAGUAACGGAGGAGCACGAAGGUUGGCUAAUCCUGGUCGGACAUCAGGAGGUUAGUGCAAUGGCAUAAGCCAGCUUGACUGCGAGCGUGACGGCGCGAGCAGGUGCGAAAGCAGGUCAUAGUGAUCCGGUGGUUCUGAAUGGAAGGGCCAUCGCUCAACGGAUAAAAGGUACUCCGGGGAUAACAGGCUGAUACCGCCCAAGAGUUCAUAUCGACGGCGGUGUUUGGCACCUCGAUGUCGGCUCAUCACAUCCUGGGGCUGAAGUAGGUCCCAAGGGUAUGGCUGUUCGCCAUUUAAAGUGGUACGCGAGCUGGGUUUAGAACGUCGUGAGACAGUUCGGUCCCUAUCUGCCGUGGGCGCUGGAGAACUGAGGGGGGCUGCUCCUAGUACGAGAGGACCGGAGUGGACGCAUCACUGGUGUUCGGGUUGUCAUGCCAAUGGCACUGCCCGGUAGCUAAAUGCGGAAGAGAUAAGUGCUGAAAGCAUCUAAGCACGAAACUUGCCCCGAGAUGAGUUCUCCCUGAGAC